GGAAAGGUGAAAGUGUGGCAAUUGUGAAGCCAACCGAUGAAGAACCUUUUGCACCAAAUAAUCCAAAAGGUUUUGUCGGAAAAGCUCUUGGACAACCUGGAUUCAAACGUUCUGUGCGUGUUGGUGAGACUGGAUUCAGAGAAGUUGCAGCCUAUCUUCUUGACUAUGAGCAUUUUGCAAACGUGCCUCCUACAGCCUUGGUGAAGAUCACUCACUC
rnacentral:misc_RNA from 1 species